AUAAGCGGAGGAAAAGAAACCAACAGGGAUUGCCUCAGUAACGGCGAGUGAAGCGGCAACAGCUCAAAUUUGAAAUCUGGCCUCUUUGGGGUCCGAGUUGUAAUUUGUAGAGGAUGUUUCGGGUACCGCCUCGGUUUAAAUUUCUUGGAACAGAAUGUCAGAGAGGGUGAGAAUCCCGUCUUGGACCGGCGGUAGGGCCCAUGUGAAACUCCUUCGACGAGUCGAGUUGUUUGGGAAUGCAGCUCAAAAUGGGUGGUAAAUUUCAUCUAAAGCUAAAUAUUGGCCAGAGACCGAUAGCGCACAAGUAGAGUGAUCGAAAGAUGAAAAGCACUUUGAAAAGAGAGUUAAACAGUAUGUGAAAUUGUUGAAAGGGAAGCGCUUACAACCAGACUUGAGCGCGGCGGUUCCCCCUUCCUUUUGGUUGGGUUACUCCGCCGUGUCCAGGCCAACAUCGGUUCUGGGGGUCGGUCAAAGGCUUUGGGAAUGUACCUACCCUUCGGGCGUAGACUUAUAGCCCAGAGUGUCAUGCGGCCUCCCGGGACCGAGGAACGCGCUUCGGCUCGGAUGUUGGCGUAAUGGUUGUCAGCGACCCGUCUUGAAACACGGACCAAGGAGUCUAACAUCUAUGCGAGUGUUUGGGUGUCAAACCCGGAACGCGAAAUGAAAGUGAACGGAGGUAGGAAGCCGUGAGGCUGCACUAUCGACCGAUCCUGAUGUCUUCGGAUGGAUUUGAGUAAGAGCAUAGCUGUUGGGACCCGAAAGAUGGUGAACUAUGCCUGAAUAGGGUGAAGCCAGAGGAAACUCUGGUGGAGGCUCGCAGCGGUUCUGACGUGCAAAUCGAUCGUCAAAUUUAGGUAUAGGGGCGAAAGACUAAUCGAACCAUCUGGUAGCUGGUUCUGC
rnacentral:rRNA from 1 species